rnacentral:tRNA from 1 species
GAGGGGGUUAACCAACUAGAACUGCUAACUCUAGUACCUGAGUCUAAAACCUCAGCCCCCUUA